AUGGAAGAUUGUAGGUUUUUUUUAUGUGCUCUUUCUCUCUCCAUCUCUAAAAAGGAAAGGAUGGGUAUUUCAGGAUUGAAUCAGCAGACAGGGAAGACAGUGGCCAUUGUUGUAGGAGGUGCUGCUGCGCUCUUCUUUGCCUUCGUUUGCCUCUGCUUCAUCAGAUCCCUCUGGAGAAAACGCGAUGGCUUCUGAGCAAGAGGGAAUCAUGGAGGGACUUGGCAAUGGUUUUGGUCAAGACGUUGGGCGGUUUCUCGAUUCAAAACGUAGAGAGAGAAAGAGAGAGGCAAUCGACGAAUUUGGGAAAUCGAGGUGUUUGGGUGCUUGAAUGAAUGUUUGUCUUUUUGGCUGGUGGGUGAGAGAAAGCCUUGCAUUUUUUGGCUCCUUCUAUUUGCAUUGUGGGCUUUGGAAUCAUGGACCCAUAAACAAACUCUCUCUCUCUCUCUCUCCUCUCUCACUCUCUAUCUCUCUCCUCUUCUGGGGUUCCCCAUAUCUCUCUAGUUCUCAACUCUCUCUCUCUAAGAUAUAUUCUCUUCUCUCUCCUCUCUCCUCUCUUUCUCAUCUUAUGGGAUGCCCACAUAUCUCACUCUCUCUCUCAAAUGUUCUCUCUCUCUCUAAGAUGUAUUCUCCUCUUGAGGGGUGCCAACAUAUCUCACUCUCUCUCUAAAAUGUAAUCACCUGUCUCUCUCUAAAAUGUAUGAUUGCUUAAGAAAGGUGCCAACAGAUCUCACUCUCUCUAAAAUGUAAUCACCUGUCUCUCUCUAAAAUGUAUGAUUACUUAAGAAAGGUUUUGUGCCAUAAGCAAGCAUGUAAUCACACUGACUUUCUCUAAUUCUUCCAAAACUAUGGAAUUGUUAUGUGUAAUCUUUGACAUGA